CGUUAGCGGCUGACGGGUGAGUAACACGUGGGUAACCUACCUAUAAGACUGGGAUAACUUCGGGAAACCGGAGCUAAUACCGGAUAAUAUUUCGAACCGCAUGGUUCGAUAGUGAAAGAUGGUUUUGCUAUCACUUAUAGAUGGACCUGCGCCGUAUUAGCUAGUUGGUAAGGUAACGGCUUACCAAGGCGACGAUACGUAGCCGACCUGAGAGGGUGAUCGGCCACACUGGAACUGAGACACGGUCCAGACUCCUACGGGAGGCAGCAGUC
rnacentral:rRNA from 1 species